rfam:Stegodyphus mimosarum contig67559, whole genome shotgun sequence.
GCCUUCGUGGUGUAACGGUAGCUCACUCGGCUUGUAUUCGAGAGGUCCAGGUUCGAGCCCCGGCGAGGGCA